rnacentral:lncRNA from 1 species
GGUUGCGCCUCAGGUCCAGGAGCUGGGUGUCGUUGGGGAAGCCGCGGGGCACGGCCUGCAGGCCGCGGCCGUCGCAAGUGCUGUGCCGGGUCUCGGCGACGCACGCGCAGGCUGGAGGGCAGGGCGUGGCCCACGCGGCCUCUCCGUGCGGGGAGCGAAGAGGAGGAGCGCGGGGACCGGCCGGCCGGUCCUCGUCCUCGUCCCCAUCCCCGUCCCCCGCCGCCGCGUCGCCCGGGCAGCGCAGGUCAGAGGGCCGCAGCGUAUCCAGGGCCUCGCCUCGCAGGCGCCGCGGGCCCCGGCACGCGCCAUCCGAGCGCACCCGAGCGCGCACCAGCCACUCGAGCAGGGGCCGUGCGUGGCAGGCGCACCACAGCGGGUUGCCCUGCAGCCGCAGGCGGCGCAGCUGGCCGGGGACCUGUAGCGGGGGCAGGGUGGUGAGCUGGUUCCCGCGGAGGUCGAGGGUGUGCAGGCGCGGGCAGUGGGCGAAGGCCCGGGGCCCCAGGGCCUGCAGGGACCCGUGGUCCAGUGCGAGCUCCCGCAGGCCGGGCAGCGCCAGGCCGUCCUCCUCUCCCGUGUAGGUGAGCGGGUUGUGACCCAGCUCCAGCCGCGCCAGGCUGCGGGCCUGGGACAGGGCGGCCCCGGGCAGGGCCUGCAGCUCGUUGUGGUGCAGGCUGAGACGGCGCAGCGCCGGCAGGCCGGCCAGAGCCUCGGGGGCCAGGACGCUGAGCGCAUUGUGAGACAGCUGCAGCCAGCGGGUGCGCAGCAGCCCCUGGAAGGCCAUGGCGGGCAGGUAGACCAGGGCGUUGUGGGCCAAGUUGAGAGUGGUCAGCGAGCCCAGGGCGCCGAAGGUCCCCGGGCGCAGCUCCUCCAACAUGUUCCCCUCCAGCUCCAGGCGCCUCAGCGAGCCCAGCCCGUCCAGCGCCUCCUGGGGCAGGGUGCUCAGGCGGUUGGAAGCCAGGUUGAGGAGGAGCAGGCGACCCAGGCCACGGAAGGCACCCUCGGCCACCAUCUCCACCUGACAGUUCCGCAGGUCCAGAUGCGUGAGGUGGGGCAGGUCCUGGAAGGCCGCUGCAGGGAGGACCUUCAGUAUAUUGCCCUGGAGGUCCAGCCUCUGGGUCAGCUGGGGACAGGAGAGGGGAAGGGAGAAUGAGCCACAUGGGCACUCGAGCCUUGGCCUCUCCCCAUCAUCUUUCCGAGUCUCUUUAGCCACAGAGCAGCCCUUACUGUGAUCCGUUUCUUCUUGCCUUACUUACCCAUUAGUUCAUAACACCACCGGGCAAAAAAGUUUCUUAUCCAGACACCCCCCGCCCCAGUUCACCCCAGGACCUGACACAAAUACAUUAUUAUUUGCAGGUCAUCUAGGUAUCUCAGCCACACGAAAAGGAUUUUAAAUAAAUUAUACUGCUAUUGGC